AGUGUUGAUUUGAAUUCUAAAUUAUGAGGGAAAAUAACGAGGACGAGGAGAACCAAAACCAAGGGAAGGUACAAGAUCAAAAUGAGCGAACCAGACUUUUGCCUGAAGGUUCUCAGGGGCACGGAGAGGAUCGAACAAACUUUUUUCUUUCUCCAUCUUUAAAUUCUAUAGGAGAUAUUCAUAGUAUAUCAAUGCCAGACAAUCAUGUUUAUCCUUACCUACCCUCUGCACAGGAAACUGUUUAUCCGCCUCCUAUGGGACGGAAGAUGUCAAGAAUCCGGACGAACUCUGUAAGUAUUCUGAAUGACGAUGGAGACGAUGUAAUUGCUACUAGCUUUGGCCCUGUUGUAAUGGAUCAUGCUCCCAGCAGUAAUCUAGACUGGUUGCUUGGAUGGUUUCUCGCAAUAAUAAGUGGAGUUCUGUUUACUGCGAAUAAUUUCUUCGUCAAGUAUUUAAGUUUGGAGGCUCUGGAGAUGUUAACGAUCAGGUCUUCAAUGCAGACAAUUGUUAUUUUGAUAACUCUGUUGUCCACUAGAACUCCAAUUCUACCCCCGUCAAACAAGGAUCGAGUCCUAGUGGUUCUACAAGGCCUUCUAAGUGGAGUUAGGGUGUUUUUACAGUUUGCCUGCCUCUCCUUCAUGCCCCUGGGGGAUGCAUUGACGCUGGUAUUUACAGAGCCACUCUGGACUAUUAUCAUUUCAAAGAUUAUCCUAAAAAUAAAUAUAGGAUGGUGGAAGACGAUAUUUGGAAUAUUUCUUCUAAGUGGAAUGGUUCUUUGUAUUCAGCCCCCGUUUAUAUUUCACCCUCUUCCUCCGUCUAAUUCGUCUUCAAAUAACUCAGGCUUUGCUAACGAGACUGAUUAUUCGAAUACUACAUUCCAACCUCUUGAUAUUUCCACAAAAUUCACUACUCAACCAUCAUUUUAUAAUCAAACAAGCAACCAAUUCUUCAACACUGAAUUAAGUGAACUCAAUCUUAACCAUACAGCAACUUAUCCUAAAUACACAACACCUAAUCCCCAAUACACAAAUACGCAAAAUAUAAACUCCAUCUUCAAUCGACACUCCGAUGCUCCUAAAAAAGAACUACCAUCGAAUAAAAUACCGAAGCCAAACCUACUUCACAAGUUUAAACAGAUUACAGGUUUGGAUAGACUUCAACUCCAGUAUGUAGCUAGGCAGAGUAUUGAAGAUAAUGAUGGUGGAGGGGAUACACCUGGAACAGGAAGAUAUUAUAUAGGUGUCCUUUUGGCAUUGGGAACUGCAGUUACAGGAUCUCUUGCUAAUGUUAUAAUUGCUAAGUGUGAUCACGUGGCAAGCAGUGUUAUGGUAUUUUACUCUGGGUUAGGAGGAGUUAUACUGGGAGUUUCCUUCAGCUUCAUGGAUCCAGACAAUAGACUAGUGUUCGAUAUAGCUAGUAUACCUGCUGACAAUUGGCUGGUUCUAAUCUUACUUGGAGCUAGUGGACUUAUUGGUUACUAUGCUAUGACAAGAUCUCUUCAACUUAUACCACCAACCACAGUAGCAGUCCUCAGAGCUUUAGAAAUUAUUCUUGCAUACGUUGCACAGGCUGUUGUAAUGGGUGAGAUACCGAACCCUAUGGCAAUAUCUGGAUCUUCUAUUGUAAUGCUGUGUGUUAUGGGAUUUGCUCUGGAGGAUACGUUCACGUCCUGUUGCUUUACCAACAGAUGAUUUUAUUCUGGAUGGAAAAUAUAUUGCAACUGUAGUGCAACAAUCUGAAUAAUGAUGUAUGUACAUCGUACAGUUUAGUGUACACACACAUGAAAAUCAAACAUCUUAACAUCUAAGGUUUAUUAACUAAAGGUAGGGAGGAUAGAGUUUUUAAACGUAUUUGACUGAAAAUAUACAGAAACCCUAUCCCACCUCCCUACUUUUACCUUGUUUUUAUCAAUGUCAUUAUUUAAACGUUCAUUAGACAUGUACAGGGUUACCCACAAAGGAUGACACUUCCAGGACUACUAAAAACUCUCAAAAUAUGACAAUUUUAAAGUUUAUUUAUGUCUUCUGUCCUGAAUAUUUUCUUUAAAUGGUUCAUCUGAUGAUAUGGCAAAAGAAGGAAAUGUGUUUACAGUUGCAGGAAAUUAUAUAUGUAAGGAAACAGACUUAAUUAACAUUUUGUAUUGUCGUUUCUGAACUCUCAUCUUUUGUAGUUAACCCUGUUUAAACAGUGUACAUUGUAUAUCAAGAUGUCCACAAAUGGCAGAUACGAUUUGGAUUAAUAGCAUGGAAACAUAUUCAUUUCUCUGAAGUCUUGUGUUGUGAAUCUCGGAUCAAGCAUUGAUCUCCAAUUUUCAUCUUAUGCAGGGAUAUCUUUAAAAGAGAGAUCAAGCAAUGAUCCUCAAAUAUUAAAGUGCUCGCAUUUGGUUUGGAUCAAACGUUCAAGAUUAACGAUACUCCACAAAAUAGUUCUAAUCUCUAUUGUCAACAGUUUUAAUAGUGGUUGUGAUGAUUGACUUUUAGUGGUUAUCUUCACAAGAUAAAAGUAAACAAAAAUCGGAACUUUAGUGGGGAUAUUUUUAUUCUUGAACAUUUGAUCUCGAUAUCCGCAUCCAAAGUGGUCACUCUAUUUAUAGGUCAAUGAUCCCUCAAUUAAAGCUUUUCCGGCAUGACCAUCACGGGAUCUGGAAAAGGAAUUUAAUUAAUCCGUAGAUCCGAAGAUCACAACAUAAAAAGUGAUUUUCAAAGUUCACUUUCAGCGUUUUUUAUAAAUCUUACACAUAUUAGGGGAACCCAUUUUUUGAAUGUCAAGCAUUUUGGAUUUAAUUUUUUUUAUAAGUAUUUAGUAAAGUUUAAGCAGAAAUAUAUAACAUUUAUUUUUA
rnacentral:misc_RNA from 1 species